rnacentral:tRNA from 1 species
ACCGAAAUAGCUCAGUUGGGACAGCGUUAGAUUAUAGAUCAAAAAGUCCCUGGUUCAAUCCCGGGUUCCGGCA